rnacentral:tRNA from 1 species
GCCGCUAUGGUGAAAUCGGUAGACACAGGAGACUCAAAAUCUCCCGCUCGUGAGGGCGUGGCGGUUCAAAUCCGUCUAGCGGCACCA